rnacentral:rRNA from 1 species
GAUGAACGCUGCGGCGUGCCUAAUACAUGCAAGUCGAGCGAACAGAUGAGGAGCUUGCUCCUCUGACGUUAGCGGCGGACGGGUGAGUAACACGUGGAUAACCUACCUAUAAGACUGGGAUAACUUCGGGAAACCGGAGCUAAUACCGGAUAAUAUAUUGAACCGCAUGGUUCAAUAGUGAAAGACGGUUUUGCUGUCACUUAUAGAUGGAUCCGCGCCGCAUUAGCUAGUUGGUAAGGUAACGGCUUACCAAGGCAACGAUGCGUAGCCGACCUGAGAGGGUGAUCGGCCACACUGGAACUGAGACACGGUCCAGACUCCUACGGGAGGCAGCAGUAGGGAAUCUUCCGCAAUGGGCGAAAGCCUGACGGAGCAACGCCGCGUGAGUGAUGAAGGUCUUCGGAUCGUAAAACUCUGUUAUUAGGGAAGAACAAAUGUGUAAGUAACUAUGCACGUCUUGACGGUACCUAAUCAGAAAGCCACGGCUAACUACGUG